rnacentral:rRNA from 1 species
GAUGAACGCUGGCGGCGUGCCUAAUACAUGCAAGUCGAGCGAACAGACGAGGAGCUUGCUCCUCUGAUGUUAGCGGCGGACGGGUGAGUAACACGUGGAUAACCUACCUAUAAGACUGGGAUAACUUCGGGAAACCGGAGCUAAUACCGGAUAACAUGUUGAACCGCAUGGUUCAACAGUGAAAGACGGUCUUGCUGUCACUUAUAGAUGGAUCCGCGCCGCAUUAGCUAGUUGGUAAGGUAACGGCUUACCAAGGCAACGAUGCGUAGCCGACCUGAGAGGGUGAUCGGCCACACUGGAACUGAGACACGGUCCAGACUCCUACGGGAGGCAGCAGUAGGGAAUCUUCCGCAAUGGGCGAAAGCCUGACGGAGCAACGCCGCGUGAGUGAAGAAGGUCUUCGGAUCGUAAAACUCUGUUAUUAGGGAAGAACAAAUGUGUAAGUAACUAUGCACGUCUUGACUGUACCUAAUCAGAAAGCCACGGCUAACUACGUG